GGUAAAAUAAAUUAUUUCCGGACACUUGACCGGAAACCCUGGCUGGGACAUCUAUGUCUAGCCAUAAUUCAGAAUAAUAUUAACACAUACAUAACACACUUUUUCAUAUUGUAAUUUCAAUGACAUUUAAAUGAAUUACGCAGCCCUCCAUCAUGACAUUUAAUAACAAGCUGAAAGUCAUUUAUAAUUUUCCUAAAUGAUUUGCAGUUUGUCAGACUCUACAUGUCGUUGUUGUUGUUCCUGAUUUUCACCAGCAGACAUCAGUAGAGGGGAUGUCUUUUGGCCUGUAGUCAUUUUGUUGUACCUCACAGGAGAUGUGUGUGUUCCCCUCCUGCAGUGUGAGCGGACAGGUGUGUGUUGUAGCUGUGUGUCGGGCAGCCUGGCUGCCUGCUGCCUCCUGAUGAAUGAAGAGCUCUCCGGGACACAGCUGAUGCAGGGCAUGCAGGUGUUUCUGAUAAUAUGAUGAAUUAUCCCCAAUGAGUCCCCAUAAAAUCACAAGAGCAGUUUGAGUCCCAACUCCAAGGUCCUGAUGCAGCGUAAUAUCGUGGGCUGCAGGAUCCAGCACGUGUGGAAGGAAGGGGAGCGGCAUGUGAUGUGGAAAGGAACCGUGCUGGAC